ACGGAACAUACGAGUAACGAGAUUAUUAUGNGAAUAACGAUUCGGCACUUCGAGUCAGGGGUUGUACCCGUUACUCAGUAACGAAUACAUACGGUUUGCUAC